rnacentral:rRNA from 1 species
CCUACGGGAGGCAGCAGUGGGGAAUAUUGGGCAAUGGGCGCAAGCCUGACCCAGCAACGCCGCGUGAAGGAAGAAGGCUUUCGGGUUGUAAACUUCUUUUCUCAGGGACGCAGAAAGUGACGGUACCUGAGGGAUAAGCCACGGCUAACUACGUGCCAGCAGCCGCGGUAAUACGUAGGUGGCAAGCGUUAUCCGGAUUUAUUCGGUGUAAAGGGCGUGUAGGCGGGAGCGGAAGUCAGAUGUGAAAACUGAGGGCUCAACCCUGAGCCUGCAUUUGAAACUGUGUUUCUUGAGUGCUGGAGAGGCAAUCGGAAUGCCGGGUGUAGCGGUGAAAUGCGUAGAUAUACGGAGGAACACCAGUGGCGAAGGCGGAUUGCUGGACAGUAACUGACGCUGAGGCGCGAAAGCGUGGGGAGCAAACAGGAUUAGAUACCCUGGUAGUC